AGAAUCAACGCUGGCGGCGUGCCUAACACAUGCAAGUCGAACGAGAAAGUGGAGCAAUCCAUGAGUAAAGUGGCGCACGGGUGAGUAACACGUGACUAACCUACCCUCGAGUGGGGAAUAACUUCGGGAAACCGAGGCUAAUACCGCAUAAAACCUAAGGGUCAAAGGAGCAAUCCGUUUGAGGAGGGGGUCGCGGCAGAUUAGUUAGUUGGCGGGGUAAUGGCUCACCAAGGCGACGAUCGGUAGCUGGUCUGAGAGGAUGACCAGCAUCACUGGGACUGAGACACGGCCCAGACUCCUACGGGAGGCAGCAAUGGGGAAUAUUGGACAAUGGGCGCAAGCCUGAUCCAGCCAUGCCGCGUGGAUGAUGAAGGCCUUAGGGUUGUAAAGUCCUUUUAACGGGGAAGAUAAUGACGGUACCGUAGAAUAAGCCCGGCUAACUCGCGCAGCAGCCGC
rnacentral:rRNA from 1 species